rnacentral:rRNA from 1 species
CUCGAGAUGAGCUCACCCUCUGGGUAACCAGGUAAGACCGCACGUAGAUAACGUGUUUGAUAGGCGGCGGGUGGAAGGAUCGUAAGAUCUGGAGCUGAGCCGUACUAACGGUCGAGGGCUUGACCUAA